UACGUAGGGCGCAAGCGUUGUCCGGAAUUAUUGGGCGUAAAGAGCUCGUAGGCGGCCUGUUGCGUCCGCUGUGAAAUCCCGGGGCUCAACCCCGGGCCUGCAGUGGAUACGGGCUGGCUAGAGGCAGGCAGGGGAGAACGGAAUUCCUGGUGUAGCGGUGAAAUGCGCAGAUAUCAGGAGGAACACCGGUGGCGAAGGCGGCUCACUGGACCACAACUGACGCUGAGGCGCGAAAGCUAGGGGAGCAAACAGG
rnacentral:rRNA from 1 species